rnacentral:rRNA from 1 species
GCUAAAAAUCUAGCCCAAUAUUAAAUUUUAUACUAUUGUUAUCUUGAUUUAAAAAUUAAAACAUUUUAUUUUUUUAGUAAAGGAGAUUAAAAAAUUUCUUUGGAGCUAUAAAAAUUGUACCGCAAGGGAAAGAUGAAAUAUUUAAUGAAAUAUAAUAAAGCAUAAAAAAGUAAAGAUUACCCCUUGUACCUUUUGCAUCAUGGUUUAACUAGUUUAAUCCGGCAAAACGUAUUAAAGUCUGACCUCCCGAAACUAAGUGAGCUACUUCAAGGCAGCUAAAUGAGCCAACCCAUCUCUGUAGCAAAAGAGUGGGAAGACCUUCAAGUAGAGGCGAUAAACCUAACGAACUUAGUGAUAGCUGGUUACCCAAGAAAAGGAUUUAAGUCCACAAUGAAGCACACAUCUAGUUUUUCAAUACACCAAACCCGCUUCAAAUCAAUUCAAAUAAGGUACAGCCUAUUUGAAAAAGGAUACAACCUAAACCAAUGGAUAAAAAUAUUCCCCAAUAACUAAGUAGGCUUAAAAGCAGCCAUCUUUAAAAACAGCGUCAAAGCUUAAUUAUCUCCAUAUCUAAUUCUAAGACCCAUCUUUACUCCUCAAUCUCUACUGGGUAAUUCUAUACUUUUAUAGAAAAUUUUAUGUUAAAAUUAGUAACAAGAAGAAGAUCUUCUCUUAAAUGUAAGUGUAAAUCAGAAAGGACCAACCACUGAUUAUUAACGCCCAUGGACCAAAAAUAGCAACCUACCAAGAAAACCCUACUCCAUCUUACGUUAACCUCACACAAGAACAUUUCAAGAAAAAUUAAAAGAAAAAGAAGGAACUCGGCAAACAUUAACCUCGCCUGUUUACCAAAAACAUCGCCUCUUGCACCCCAUAAGAGGUCCAGCCUGCCCAGUGAAAUAUUCAACGGCCGCGGUAUCCUAACCGUGCGAAGGUAGCGUAAUCACUUGUUCUCUAAAUCAGGACUAGUAUGAACGGCACCACGAGGGUUAUACUGUCUCCUUUUUCCAAUUAGUGAACUUAAUCUUCCCGUGAAGAAGCCGGAAUAAUCCUAUAAGACGAGAAGACCCUUUGGAGCUUUAAACAUACUAGCACUUGCAUCACAUCUUUAUAUUUCUGAAUACUAUAUCUCCCGCACGAUGACUAUAAGUUUUAGGUUGGGGUGACCGCGGAGUAAAAUAAACCCUCCACACUGUAAGAAUCUCUUAAAUCUUAACUAAGAGCCACACCUCUAAGUAUCAGUACACUGACAUCUAUUGACCCAAUAUAUUUGAUCAACGAACCAAGUUACCCUAGGGAUAACAGCGCAAUCCAUUUCAAGAGCCCCUAUCGCCAAAUGGGUUUACGACCUCGAUGUUGGAUCAGGAUCUCCCAGUGGUGCAGCCGCUACUAAUGGUUCG